UCUGCUCAAUGUAUUAUAUAAAUAGCUGCAUCAUUUGUACUAAGGUAGCGUAAUAAUUUGUCUUUUAAUUGAAGAAUUGUAUGAAGGAACACACAAGAAAUAAACUGUCUCUUUUUAAUAUAUAAAAAUUAAUAUACAAGUGAUAAAGCUUGUUUAAAAUAAAUAGACAAGAAGACCCUGUUGAGCUUUUUCUAUAAAUUAAUAAUAUAGAUUUUGUUGGGGCAACAAAAAUUUAUUAGAUCAAUUUUAACUUUUUAGAACAUCUUCUUUAAAAUAACCUUAUUUUAUAAAAAAUUUAUAAGUUACCACAGGGAUAACAGGCUAAUUUUCUUAUAGAGUUCAAAUUAACAAGAAAGAUUGGUACCUCGAUGUUGGCUUAAAAUUCCUUCUAAUUGUAGUAG
rnacentral:rRNA from 1 species